rnacentral:sRNA from 1 species
CAAUGUGAAGACGAUCUGGCUUCAGCAUCAGUCACGCCAUUGGUCACGCCGUUGGUCACCUGGGGUCAGUUCAGCUGAUGUGACUGGCUAGAUGACCAGCCUCUUUUUCCUCUUUUCCCAUCCCAUGUGCAAGCAGAGCUGUGUGCUCAGUCACAAAGGAUGACCUUCCCUGAUGGAGGACCAUUCUUUAGUCAAGGGUAUAUUAGAAGCUCCAUUUACCUGCUAGAAUUUCUAAGCAACCCCUCAAGAAAUUCAUGCUCCUGUCUCUCACCCCAACCCCACCAACAUUGUUACUGU